GAUGAACGCUGGCGGCGUGCCUAAUACAUGCAAGUCGAGCGAACAGAUGAGGAACUUGCUCCUCUGACGUUAACGGCUGGCGGGUUAGUAACACGUGGAUAACCUCCCUAUAAGACUGGGAUAACUUCGGGAAACCGGAGCUAAUACCGGAUAAUAUAUUGUACCGCAUGGUUCAAUAGUGAAAGACGGUUUUGCUGUCACUUAUAGAUGGAUCCGAGCCGCAUUAGCUAGUUGGUAAGGUAACGGCUUACCAAGGUGACGAUGCGUAGCCGACCUGAGAGGGUGAUCGGCUACACUGGAACUGAGACACGGUCCCGACUCCUACGGGAGGCAGCAGUAGGGAAUCUUACGCAAUGGGCGAAAGCCUGACGGAGCAACGCCGCGUGAGUGAUGAAGGUCUUCGGAUCGUAAAACUCUGUUAUUAGGGAAGAACAAAUGCGUAAGUGGCUAUGAACGUCUUGACGGUACCUGAAGAGAAAGCCACGGCUAACUACGUG
rnacentral:rRNA from 1 species